rnacentral:rRNA from 1 species
UACGAAGGUCCCAAGCGUUAUCCGGAUUUAUUGGGCUUAAAGGGUGCGUAGGCGGGCUAUUAAGCCAGUGGUGAAAUCUCCGAGCCUAACUCGGAAAUUGCCAUUGAUACUGAUGGUCUUGAGUACAUUUGAAGUGGGCGGAAUGUGUCAUGUAGCGGUGAAAUGCUUAGAUAUGACACAGAACACCGAUUGCGUAGGCAGCUCACUAAACUGUAACUGACGCUGAGGCACGAAAGCGUGGGGAGCAAACAGG